UCCACCUCCUUUUCCUCCCGUUGCUCCUGUCUCUUUCUACCUCCUCGUUGCAGCAUCUAGCUAUGCACUUAGCCUCCCAUCCUACCACCAUAUGAAUAACAGCUACAGCCUCGGCGACAACGCAGCCAGCGCCGUAAGUGUCUCUGUGGCUUGCUGUGGCUGGGGAUGGGGGACAGAGUAGAGUCCCAGAAACUCAGGGAACAUGCAGCCUGCAGGUCUCACAGGGACACUGUGGUCAGUUUAUGCCUGAGAGUGGCUUGGUCCAGGUGGAGGAGGGAUCUCAACAUCUCCAUCCACCCAGUGAGGCCCGUGGGCACAGAAACUCCCUGCCCAGAUGGCAACCCCACUCACAGAGGUCCAGGCUCAGCGGUGACACAGUUUCAAUCAGGUGAACCAGAAUGGAGCUUCUGUGGUUAUUCAUCCCCCACACAUUGGAAAAGCUGUCCUGCACACCUUUGACUGUGGCUGCAGCUGCGACUCCCCCCCUUUCCCCCUUCCCCCACCCCCUGCCCCAUGCCGUGUCUGUCCGCAGCUGUCCCCUUGAUACUGGGUCCCCUCCUCCUGUCCUGCCUGCAGCUGUCCCCCUCCAUACGAGAAUGCCCCCCUCCUCAGUGGUCCAUCACCUGGACACACAUUAAAGACCUGUGUCCGUCAUGGCAUCCCCUGGCCCCUGGUCGGCCCGGCUGAGCUCCGGAGGUGUUGGGGAAUGUUCAGGGGUUCAGAUGGCAGGCUGAACUCCCUCGGGAGGGGGGGUCCAGCAUCAUGACAACAAAGUGGAAGAGGGCAGCAUACAGCGUGUACCUCCAUGGACCAGGAACGAUGGAGCUGGAGUUAGAGUUUCAGAUUUUAGGACAACAGGCUAUGAAGCAGUGAGAUAACUCUGUGCAUACCCUGGUCAGGGUUCACUUUACACUUCUUAUCAAAACUAUCACGAAACAUCUGAAUAAAGCUUCACUUAUCUGCCGGUUAGGUUGGCAAUGACAGUUAGCCACAUUGCUGUGCAGGUUACAGUCUGUUAGGAAUACCUCAUAUACAAUAAGGAAAUCCAUAAAUGUAUCUUAUAUGUUAUAAAUUUAAUGGCUGGACCACAUCUGACCUGAAUUUUCAAUGCUACUGUUGUCAAUACUAAUGUAAUGCAUAAUACUAACAUUAAAAUGAAUAUUUUAAUAAUGAAUAAAUCAUUAUUCUAGAAAAUUCAUUAAUUUUAGCCAAAUAUAAUUAUGCUUACAAGACAUUAAUUUUAUGUGAUGAAAUAGCUGCCUAUGGUCUAUGA